UUUUUUUUUUUUUUUUUUUUUUUUGUUUCAUUUCAGCGUGGUGUUCCCAGCACUGAGUCUUCAGGAAUACUGGCCUGUCUCCGCAAUGGCUGACCUCCUACGAGUCCUGCCCGAGCCUCUUCCUUUCCAGAAGACUGGGGUCUUUUUUGUAUCUUCCACUCUCUCCUCAUCUUGUGCAUCUUUUCUCGGUCACUGAACACAUGGAGCAUGUUGACAGCAGCAGGAGGGUGGGGGGAUGGAGCAACGGCUCAGGACCACGCACGCGCCGCUGCAGGCGGUAGGGCCUUUCUCUUCUGGCGUCACUGUCCCUUCCCAAGAUGGGCCAGGCGGUCAAGCGCAUCGCUGGCAUUUGGGCGCCAACAGCCCAGCCUUGUCAGAGCCCCUUCUAUGAGCUGGUGCGAGCCCCUUGUCGGAUAUGUGAUCUGCAAAUAUCUCCUCCCAUCCUGUGAGUGGUCCUUUCACUUUCUUGAUGGUGUCCUUUGGAGCGCAAAGGUUUUUAACUUUGACCAUGAACGCCAGAGGAAAAGGCAGCUUACCUUCAGCGGAGAGACUGCCUGACAAUGAUGUGCCAGCACAGGAGGGAUGGCAAAGACCAGGGUGUGAGGUCACUCAUGUGCUGGUGAGCCCACGGCCAGCCAGAGCCUACAGCCAGCAAGUGCAUCUCCGGAGGAGCAGGGACCCCCAGCUCAAGUGGGGAGGGCUGGCCAGCAGCGGAGUCUGACUAAAGGAGCUUCUGAUGCACGUACACCCAGGCGGGAAGAAGCGAUCGCAGGUGGGAGGUCCCAGGGGCCCAGGGAAGUAGAGAGCAAGGAAAGCGACAGGUGCGUCUACAAACCUAAGACACACGGCAGUAAGGCCAAAGCGAGGUUAAAAAGCAAAUACCCGCAACGCGUGGAAGGGGAGUUAGGGGUUCUCAGGUCCCUGGAUCCCCCGAAGAGUCAAGCACUAGUUAAUUGCAGGUGUUUGCCGAGUAAGAAUGUUGUAAUUUCUACAAAACCAUCAAAGAAACAGAAAGUGUCUAUAACUUCCUAAUGGUAGAGUUAAAAAAAAAAAUCAAUAAUCAACUUUUUUAAAACAAGACAGUUCUGAGAAGGAAUGAAAAAAAGAAACAUAGCAGAGCUAAAACAGCAAAACAUAAGACGGUAGAUUUAAACCCAAAUCUAUCUGUAAUUACCUUUACAGGAAACCAAAGAAAUGCUCCAGUUAAAAAAAAAAGUCAGAAUUUUUUUAAAAGAUUAUCAAACUACAAUUUGUAAAAAAAACCCCACUUUCAUCAUAUGCCAUUUACGAGCUACAUCUAAGACAUAAAAAUAGAAAAGGGUUAAAAAUGAAAGAAUAGGAAGAAUACACAAGGCAAAUGCCGCCCAGAGGUUCAGCUACAUGAAUUUCAGACGAAACAGACUCAGGGGCAAAAAACACUUGAGGAGAUGAAAGAUCACUUCAUGUGACAGACGCUUCAUUCACAAAGAAGAUGCAACAAUUCUAAACUGUACCGCUAGUGACACAGCCCCACACGCAUAAAGCAAACCCUUGAUCUUCAUGUGACAGGCACUUCACUCACAAACAAGGUGCAACAAUUCUAAAGUGCAUCGCUCGUGACACAGCCCCACACGCAUAAAGAAAAACCCUUGAUAGAAAUGCAGGAUUAACAGGCGCGUCCGCAGUGACGACUGCAGAUUGUAACCUCUCUCAGGAUUUGAUAAAACAGAUGGACCCAAAGAUGAAUGAGGUUUCAAGGGCCGACACACAACUUCGGGGAAGAGCUAAGUAGUAAAUAAUUUAGAUUUUUUUCAGAGCAAAAUGGUCUCUGUUGAAGCGACUCAACCAAGUCAUACUGCAGAGCGGCCACAGACAAUACAUAAACCAGCGGGGCGGCUGUGAUCCAUAACGGUUUACUUCUAGAAACAGGUGGCAGCCAGGUUUAGACCACGGAGUGUAGUCUUCCAACACCCGACAGAGGAGGUUUAAACAACCUGAUUAAUAAACGUAGCGAACUCGCCAAAAACUAACCUCACGUGCUGCUGAAUGCAAUGUUUUCAAAGACUCCCAGAGCGUUUCCGAAAUGUGACCGCAUGUGGGCCAUAAAGCGGGUCUCGACAAGUUUUAAAAGACAGGUCAGUCAGUAUAUAUUGUGACCAAAAUUCAUUGAAGCUAAAAAGAAAAGAAAAAAAAGAAAAAAAAAAGCAGAUACUUGGACAAAUCUUCAUAUGCUUAGAAAUUCAGAAGUUAUCGCCAAUCAAAUAUUAAAUCAAUUAGAUAUUUUAAAAUCUAUUGACCUGAAUAGUAAAAAAAAGGGGGGGUGCCUUGUCACAGGGUAUAGUUGCAGCAGAAAGUUCGCAGAGGGACCACGAUGGAUGCUAUGCCUCAGUGUGGCAGAAACCUCGGGAGGCUGAAAACGACACAAAACGUAAGUCAGAAAAGCAGAAAGUAAAUUAUAAAGAAGGAAGGAAAUGACUUAGAAAGCAGAAAUGAAUGACAUAAAGCACGCAGAGAAAGCUGCAAAGGUGGUUCUGUGAACGGCUCAGGCGAGCUGGCAGAGUUUCGCCAGGAGAAGCGAGGGGACCAGAGCGUCGGCGUGGACAGUGUCCGAGCGGAGCCCCAAGCGAAGCGAGCCCUGCGCAACUGUCGUAGGAGGAAACUGGGAACAGCUCUGGGGCAAAAAACUUGAAAAUGUACAAAAGGACACAUUCC
rnacentral:lncRNA from 1 species